GUGGGGAAUAUUGGACAAUGGGCGGAAGCCUGAUCCAGCAACGCCGCGUGAGGGAUGACGGCCUUCGGGUUGUAAACCUCUUUCACCAUUGACGAAGCCGUGCCUUUUUUGGGUGUGGUGACGGUAGGUGGGGAAGAAGCACCGGCCAACUACGUGCCAGCAGCCGCGGUAAUACGUAGGGUGCGAGCGUUGUCCGGAAUUAUUGGGCGUAAAGGGCUCGUAGGCGGUUUGUCGCGUCGGGAGUGAAAUUCUACAGCUUAACUGUGGGCUUGCUUUCGAUACGGGCAGACUAGAGGUAUGCAGGGGAGAACGGAAUUCCUGGUGUAGCGGUGAAAUGCGCAGAUAUCAGGAGGAACACCGGUGGCGAAGGCGGUUCUCUGGGCAUGAUCUGACGCUGAGGAGCGAAAGUGUGGGGAGCGAA
rnacentral:rRNA from 1 species